GAACGCUGGCGGAAUGCUUUACACAUGCAAGUCGAACGGUAGAGGGGGCAACCCCUUGAGAGUGGCGAACGGGUGAGUAAUAUAUCGGAACGUGCCCAGUCGUGGGGGAUAACGUAGUGAAAAUUACGCUAAUACCGCAUACGAUCUAAGGAUGAAAGCGGGGGAUCGCAAGACCUCGCGCGACUGGAGCGGCCGAUAUCAGAUUAGGUAGUUGGUAGGGUAAAGGCCUACCAAGCCAACGAUCUGUAGCUGGUCUGAGAGGACGACCAGCCACACUGGAACUGAGACACGGUCCAGACUCCUACGGGAGGCAGCAGUGGGGAAUUUUGGACAAUGGGCGAAAGCCUGAUCCAGCCAUUCCGCGUGCAGGAUGAAGGCCCUCGGGUUGUAAACUGCUUUUGUACAGAACGAAAAGGUCUCUAUUAAUACUAGGGGCUCAUGACGGUACUGUAAGAAUAAGCACCGGCUAACUACGUGCCAGCAGCCGCGGUAAUACGUAGGGUGCAAGCGUUAAUCGGAAUUACUGGGCGUAAAGCGUGCGCAGGCGGUUAUAUAAGUCAGAUGUGAAAUCCCCGGGCUCAACCUGGGAACUGCAUUUGAGACUGUAUAGCUAGAGUACGGUAGAGGGGGAUGGAAUUCCGCGUGUAGCAGUGAAAUGCGUAGAUAUGCGGAGGAACACCGAUGGCGAAGGCA
rnacentral:rRNA from 1 species